rnacentral:rRNA from 1 species
CGCCGCGUGAGGGAUGACGGCCUUCGGGUUGUAAACCUCUUUCAGCAGGGAAGAAGCGAGAGUGACGGUACCUGCAGAAGAAGCGCCGGCUAACUACGUGCCAGCAGCCGCGGUAAUACGUAGGGCGCAAGCGUUGUCCGGAAUUAUUGGGCGUAAAGAGCUCGUAGGCGGCUUGUCGCGUCGGUUGUGAAAGCCCGGGGCUUUAACCCCGGGUCNUGCAGUCGAUACGGGCAGGCUAGAGUUUCGGUAGGGGAGAAUCGGAAUUCCUGGUGUAGCGGUGAAAUGCGCAGAAUAUCAGGAGGAACACCGGUGGCGAAGGCGGAUCUUCUGGGCCCGAUACUUGACGCUUGAGGAGCGAAAGCGUGGGGAGCGAACAGGACUUAGAAUACCCUUGGUAGUCCAAGGG